UACGUAGGUGGCAAGCGUUGUCCGGAAUUACUGGGCGUAAAGCGUGCGCAGGCGGCUUCUCAAGUCAGGGGUGAAAGCCCAGAGCUCAACUCUGGAAUUGCCUUUGAGACUGAGAGGCUUGAGUACGGGAGAGGUGAGUGGAAUUCCCAGUGUAGAGGUGAAAUUCGUAGAUAUUGGGAAGAACACCAGUGGCGAAGGCGGCUCACUGGACCGUAACUGACGCUCAUGCACGACAGCGUGGGGAUCAAACAGG
rnacentral:rRNA from 1 species